GAGAGCGAGACCGCCGGCUUGGUAUAUUGAUAUUAAGAAUAUUCUUAUUUCUUUGGACAGUGCUAAUUAUGUGUAUCCCUUCUCCUCUCUUAAAAAUUAUAAUGCUUGGGCUGGUAUUACAGGGUAGGCAACUAGUUUUGUGCCGGUUCUAUUUCUUGUAGUGGUUCUUGAUUACUUUGUCUUGUUUUCCAAAUUUAGACUGGGGAUGUAUAAGAAGGUUAGUCGAUUCAUUAAUUUUCGCCUAAAAUAGCAUUUCCAAUCUUUAUUUUACAUUGUUUAUUUUGAGAGAUUGUAUGUAAGUAUAAUAUUUGGUUCAACGUACUAGAUAAUUUCCUUUGAGGGAGUCGGCAUAUAAUUUCAAAUUGGAUUCUUCCGCUUAAUUAUAUUUUUAAUGCAUUCAUUGUUAACUUCUUUUUUGUUAUGAUAAAUUGUAUUCUCAUCUUCAAAAAAUAUGUUUUUUUUAUCUAAAUAGUUUAACUGAUACCCAUAUGGUCAGGAUAGGGAAUUAUUUUAAUGGUGUUGAUGGUUUCCUGGUUACCAGGGCUAUGUGAAAUGAGUAAGAAGAACUCGUUAUUUUUGUGGUCAAUUCAAGUUGAUGUUCUGAUAAAACGUGAACCUAUUUUGUCAAAUUAAUUUAAUUUAAUCAUUUAAUUCUUUUAGAAGCUUCUUGUAUAAGGUUUUCAUUGUGGGCGAGUCUGUGAUUUUGUUACCAAAAGAUCGAGAUUUUGAUCACAAUGAUUUCCGUUAAAUUAAUUAUUAGACAGUGAUGAUAUUUGAAUUGGAUUGCUUAAGAAGACUCGUUUGUGGUCCUGUCCCUGGGUUUCCAUGGGAUGUUGCCAAUCAUAACUGUCAGCAGCCCAAAAAUGUAUUCUACGGCCGGUGAACCGAUCGUUUGGCGAUUUUCGUAGUGCUUGCACCGAGAAAACGGCUCACCAGUGCUAGGGGACUCAUGCAUCCGACCAGCGCCGCCAGACCACGCUGCUUUAACCAUUUACCAGUACUGCUUUCCAAACUGACUGCGAGAUCAGCUGACGUGAUCGGCAAGUCUGGUGGCAGCCAAGAUGCCAAGAGAAACAACAAAGCGACAGAAGAGAAAGUAGUGCAGAGAAAGUUCGCUGCUAAGUUCUAUCACCUUGACCUGCCCUAUGGCCUUGAGGAUCGGCGCCGGCGGGCGAUCCAUGGAUACUUGGAGCUUACCUUCUGCUGGUGAGUACUCAUAUCGGCACUGUGUGUUAGAGACAGCCAUUACUGGUUCCAACAAGCCGCCGCGACACGGGUAAUUUUGGGGUUUUCCAGGAGCGCCAACUCCAUUCACAGAGCUACUCGCGCGAGUCCCCCCUGUGUGACGGUUAUAUGUACAUACAUAUACAGUUUGUCAAUAAACUGUUUACACACUGCGAAAUAAUUUGAAUUUUUGACUUUAAAGGUAAGAAUUCAGAAUUCUUUGCUUAAUUAAACGC
rnacentral:lncRNA from 1 species